AGAGUUUGAUCCUGGCUCAGGAUGAACGCUAGCGGCAGGCUUAACACAUGCAAGUCGAGGGGUAGAGGAAGCUUGCUUCCUUGAGACCGGCGCACGGGUGCGUAACGCGUAUGCAAUCUACCUUGUACAGGGGGAUAGCCCAGAGAAAUUUGGAUUAAUACCCCCAUAGUAUAAUUGAGUGGCAUCACUUAAUUAUUAAAGUUCCAACGGUACAAGAUGAGCAUGCGUCCUAUUAGCUAGUUGGUGUGGUAACGGCAUACCAAGGCUACGAUAGGUAGGGGUCCUGAGAGGGAGAUCCCCCACACUGGUACUGAGACACGGACCAGACUCCUACGGGAGGCAGCAGUGAGGAAUAUUGGACAAUGGGCGCAAGCCUGAUCCAGCCAUGCCGCGUGCAGGAAGAAGCAUCUAUGGUGUGUAAACUGCUUUUGUACGGGAAGAAACACCUCUACGUGUAGAGGCUUGACGGUACCGUAAGAAUAAGGAUCGGCUAACUCCGUGCCAGCAGCCGCGGUAAUACGGAGGAUCCAAGCGUUAUCCGGAAUCAUUGGGUUUAAAGGGUCCGUAGGCGGUCUAAUAAGUCAGUGGUGAAAGCCCAUCGCUUAACGAUGGAACGGCCAUUGAUACUGUUAGACUUGAAUUAUUGGGAAGUAACUAGAAUAUGUAGUGUAGCGGUGAAAUGCUUAGAUAUUACAUGGAAUACCAAUUGCGAAGGCAGGUUACUAUCAAUAUAUUGACGCUGAUGGACGAAAGCGUGGGGAGCGAACAGGAUUAGAUACCCUAGUAGUCC
rnacentral:rRNA from 1 species